rnacentral:rRNA from 1 species
GACGAACCGUGCGAACGUUAUUCGGAAUCACUGGGCUUAAAGCGCGUGUAGGCGGGGCGGCACGUCGGUCGCUGAAAGCCCCCGGCUCAACCGGGGAACGGGCGCCGGAUACGACCGCCCUCGAGGGACGUAGGGGGACCUGGAACUUCCGGUGGAGCGGUGAAAUGCGUUGAGAUCGGAAGGAACGCCCGUGGCGAAAGCGAGGUCCUGGACGUCUGCUGACGCUGAGACGCGAAAGCCAGGGGAGCGAACGGG